rnacentral:lncRNA from 1 species
UCCAAUUAAAGUUUAUCCAAGGGCUUGAUUACAAAGUUUCAAAACAUCAAGGACCAAAACGCAAAAUAACCUCAACACUGUUCAUCUUCUUCACCUGAAAAAAAGAAAACUGCUGCCUUUACUCCUGCAUUAAAAACAGAGAGCACGGGACCGCAUGGCAUUCUAAGGGAGGAUAAAACCAGAAAAAAAAAAAAAAAACGGCUGGAAGAGAGGGGACUAAAGGAAAAGAAAAGGAGCAGUACCGAGGAGAGGAAGAAGAAGAGAGGGAGGAGCAGGAAAAAAACCCAGAAAACAGAGACAAAGAAAAUAGUACACAGAGACAAAAGCAAGCAACAAACUCAGAAUACCAACAUUAACAUCACUGUCUUCUUGAUCGCCUCCUGCAAAUAAAAAAGAAGAAGAACCCCCAGCAUCGCCAUCGUCUUCAUUCCUUCAUCUCAAAGAACCGGGAUAAUAGGCUAGAUAACCAGAAGCAAAGGAAACGCAAAACCCAGAGAGAAGAGCGCAAGGCAAGGUGGAAAGGGUGCCCUGCCAAGCGUGGUUCAAUCACACAGAAGGAGCUUUGUCAUCGUCUUCGUCGCCUCCGGCCAACCAGGUAAGCCGCUUCCUCUGCCUUUCGUUUGGUUUCAAUUUAUCAGCUGCUUACUGUGCAAGUGAAUUUUAAUUC